AAACUAACAAGGAUUCCCCUAGUAGCGGCGAGCGAAGCGGGAAGAGCUCAAAUUUAUAAUCUGGCACUUUCAGUGUCCGAGUUGUAAUCUCUAGAAGUGUUUUCCGCGUUGGACCGCACACAAGUCUGUUGGAAUACAGCGGCACAGUGGUGACACCCCCGUACACGGUGCGGACGCCCAGCGCUUUGUGAUACACUUUCGAAGAGUCGAGUUGUUUGGGAAUGCAGCUCAAAUUGGGUGGUAAAUUCCAUCUAAAGCUAAAUAUUGGCGAGAGACCGAUAGCGAACAAGUACCGUGAGGGAAAGAUGAAAAGCACUUUGGAAAGAGAGUUAACAGUACGUGAAAUUGUUGGAAGGGAAACGCUUGAAGUCAGACUUGCUUGCCGGAGCUUGCUUCGGUUUGCAGGCCAGCAUCAGUUUUCCGGGGUGGAUAAUGGCGGUUAGAAGGUAGCAGCUUCAGCUGUGUUAUAGCUUUCCGCUGGAUACAUCCUGGGGGACUGAGGAACGCAGCGUGCUUUUAGCGGGGGUUUCGACCUCUUCACGCUUAGGAUGCUGGUGUAAUGGCUUUAAACGA
rnacentral:rRNA from 1 species